rnacentral:rRNA from 1 species
GACAGAGGCCCCAAGCGUUAGGCGGAAUCACUGGGCUUAAAGCGUGUGUAGGCGGAUCGUUAAGUGUCUUGUGAAAUCCCACGGCUCACCCGUGGAACUGCUGGGCAUACUGGCGAUCUUGGGCCAACUAGGGGCAGCCGGAACAAGCGGUGGAGCGGUGAAAUGCGUAGAUAUCGAGAGGAACACCUGCGGCGAAGGCGGGUUGCUGGGCUGAUACUGACGCUGAGGCGCGAAAGCCAGGGGAGCGAACGGG